GACGAACGCUGGCGGCGUGCUUAACACAUGCAAGUCGAACGAUGAAGCGCCAGCUUGCUGGUGUGGAUUAGUGGCGAACGGGUGAGUAACACGUGGGUAACCUGCCCCCUACUCUGGGAUAAGCCUGGGAAACUGGGUCUAAUACUGGAUAUGACCAAUCACUGCAUGGUGUGUUGGUGGAAAGAUUUUUUGGAGGGGGAUGGACUCGCGGCCUAUCAGCUUGUUGGUGGGGUAAUGGCCUACCAAGGCGACGACGGGUAGCCGGCCUGAGAGGGCGACCGGCCACACUGGGACUGAGACACGGCCCAGACUCCUACGGGAGGCAGCAGUGGGGAAUAUUGCACAAUGGGCGAAAGCCUGAUGCAGCGACGCCGCGUGAGGGAUGACGGCCUUCGGGUUGUAAACCUCUUUCACCAGGGACGAAGCUAACGUGACGGUACCUGGAGAAGAAGCACCGGCUAACUACGUG
rnacentral:rRNA from 1 species